AGAGUUUGAUCAUGGCUCAGAAUCAACGCUGGCGGCGCGCUUAACACAUGCAAGUCGCACGAGAAAGUGGAGCAAUCCAUGAGUACAGUGGCGUACGGGUGAGUAACACGUGGAUCAUCUACCUCUUGGUGGGGAAUAACCCUGGGAAACCGGGGCUAAUACCGCAUAAGCCUGCAAAGGGAAAGCAGCAAUGCGCCGAGAGAGGAGUCCGCGGCCGAUUAGCUUGUUGGUAGGGUAAUGGCCUACCAAGGCAAUGAUCGGUAGCCGGCCUGAGAGGGCACACGGCCACACUGGCACUGAAACACGGGCCAGACUCCUACGGGAGGCAGCAGUGGGGAAUCUUGCACAAUGGGGGAAACCCUGAUGCAGCGACGCCGCGUGAGCGAUGAAGCCCUUCGGGGUGUAAAGCUCUUUCGGCAGGAACGAUAAUGACGGUACCUGCAGAAGAAGCUGCGGCUAACUACGUGCCAGCAGCCGCGGUAAUACGUAGGCAGCAAGCGUUGUUCGGAAUUACUGGGCGUAAAGAGUGUGUAGGCGGUUCUCUAAGUUCGGUGUGAAAUCUCCCGGCUCAACUGGGAGGGUGCGCCGGAAACUGGGGGGCUAGAGUGCGGGAUGGGAGAGUGGAAUUCCUGGUGUAGCGGUGAAAUGCGUAGAUAUCAGGAGGAACACCUGUGGUGUAGACGGCUCUCUGGACCGCAACUGACGCUGAAACACGAAAGCGUGGGUAGCAAACAGGAUUAGAUACCCUAGUAGUCC
rnacentral:rRNA from 1 species